rnacentral:lncRNA from 1 species
GAAGUACAAGAGUGUUGUACACCGUGUGAUGACGAUGAAGCAAGGAAGUAGACUGUCGAUAGCUACAUUUUACAAUCCAGCUGGGGAUGCCAUAAUAUCUCCAGCUCAAGAGAUGUUGUACCCAAGUGGUUACCGAUUCCAAGACUACCUUAAGCUUUAUUCAACCACUAAGUUUGGAGACAAAGGCUCUAGAUUUAAUACCAUGAAGAAAAUGGAGAAUGGGGAUUCCGUCUAGGAUGCAUCGCCUGAACGUAACGCUGCUUUUGUAUUUCACAUGAAACUCUAUUUCUAUUAAAACUUUGUCUUCUUGUUGUGUUUCUUUCAUAAAGGAAUAACAAUUAUGCCAGGAUCAUGCUGAUUCAACUAUUUUGCUUUGUUAAGAAAAAAUAACUCUUUUUACUCAAGUGAUUUUGUACUAGGCAAGUCGUUGAUGGCAACUUUAAAAACAUUAGUUUGAACUUUGAAGGUCUUUUAUAUUGUACUUUUAUUUUUAAGGAUGUCCUUAAGAUAUUAGUAUGUUUUGGCUAAAAAGUUAUAUAUCGUUUAAUUCUGUUUAUCUUUUAAAACAACAAAAACACAAAAGAUAUUUCAUGUUAAGCGAUAAUUCAAUAUGAUUAAGAGAAUGAUAACCUAGUUAGUAAUUAGUAAUUACCAACAUCCGUAUGGUCAUAAAAGAGAACCCAAGAUAAUGAAAAAAAAAUGUCAAACCAUAAAACUUGGACAAUGGUGAAACAAAAACAGUUUUUAUUUAAGUUUUCGUAGGAUCAAACUCCCACGGCUGCUUCUUGUAAUAGCAGACCACAAACUAAACCAAGUGGUCUUAUUUGUAGCAACUUCUUUUUCUUCACCUUUUAACUUGGCAUGUAACUGAGCAAAUUCCAGCAAAUUUUUUUUUUUUUUUUUUGCUUGUACUAAAUAGCUUAAUUUUGGUGAAGAAACCAGCAAAUUUUCAUUUUAUUUUAAUAAAUAAAUGAUAUCUCAUUCAACUUUAAUGUUACUGAAUGAUACAUGGAGAUAAUAAAUAAUACUCCAAGUAAAGAUUUUUUUAGAUUUUUUUCUUGUUCCACAAAGAUAGAUUUUCUAUAUUGUUAAGGUAUUUUUUUAUACUUUUGAAAAACAUUAAUUGAGAAUAUUUGAAUUAAUUAAAUUUCAUUGGUGGAAAGUUAUUGAAAAGUGUAUAAUAAAGUAAAAGAUAAAUUAAAUUAUAAAUAUUUAUUAAAUUAUUAAUAAGCGUCCAUACUCUAAAAAAUCUUACUUUUGCGAACAGAGAGAGUAUUCUUUUGAUGGUACUACGGAUGCUACAACUUUAAGAUGGUGCUGUUGAUCAUCUGGACUAAAUAGGUUGACAAAGAGGAAUCCCAAGCCCUUAAUCUUGAACUGUACAUAGAGUGGUAGAUUACUAACUUAGGCUUCGAAUGUUACGAACUGCCUCGCUCCGCAGUUAACAGUAACAAAAAUCUCUACAUAUACUAUAUAUCUAUACGUUUUUAUAACUGUUAAAACCGCACCGCAAUUAAUGUAUGUAGCGGCUAGAGGCUUGUUCAAAAUGAAUCCUCCAAUGAUUAUAGUGCCUAAAUCCAUUGAGGAAGGCAUCGAGACUUUGCUCGAGGUUCCUAGAGCUAAGGCACAAUCCUGUUAGCUUGGACAUAGGAGGACAACCUCUAGCAUCCAACUACCCAUUGCCGCCCAAGGUUUGUGGUUUUUUUUUGUGUGUGUUGUUUGGUGGCAUAGUGAUACAGUAGCUUCAUCAGGUGUCAGUAGAACCAUGAGGAGAAUUCUUUCAGUGGAGUUGGCUUUUGAACCAAAGAUUGUAUAUGUGAGAAAAACAUCUAAAGUUAAAAUGUGUCAAAGGUUACGACAUCCUCAUUCAAAUAGCUAAUGAUAACAUGGGUUUGUCAGUGUUGGUUCUUCUCGGUAGAUAUAUGCUUAAGUUCCGUUUCUUAGGUCAGCAAAAUGGUGCAACGACAUCUGACAUGAGGGAAUAAGUAGGUGGGGGAUCUCACGAUAUCUAAAAAUCAUUAUUUUGCAUUUUUUUCUGAGAGCAUUCUGAUUAGCUACACCGUGUGUUAUCCUUAGGCUAUGCUCUAUUAUUGUCUUGGUGCGUCACAUUCUCAACUUGUAAACUAGAGUGUUCAUAUUUUUGUUCUAGGGUGGAUUGUCAAUGUAUGUAGCGGCUAAAAUUUUCUAAUCUUUUAUAUAGUUUCCUUGUAAAAGGUAUCUUAUUGCUUGGUCAAAGACUGCUGGCAUUAUGAUACCAGUUAGAUUCAUCAGGUGUCAGCAGAAAUAUGAGGAGCAUCCUUUCAUUAGAGUUGGCUUUUGAACCAAAUAUUGUUUAUAUGAGAAAAAUCAUAUAUUACCAAGGGGGUAUAGGAGUCCAGCAUCCAAAAGCUAGAUUGUGUUAGGUUAUAGUGUCCUCAUUCAAAAUUGUGUUGGUUCUUAUCGGUAAUCAUAUGCUUAAGUUUCGGUUUUCAGGUCAGCGAAUAAUGCAACAUCAUCUGACAUUAAGGAGUAAGAAGGUGGGCUCGUAAGAUAUCUAAAAAAGGUUUCUCUUAACAACCUCAGUAUUCUCUGAAGAUUGUGGGCUUAAUCCACUUCAAGAUUCUGCAAACGAGACUGCUUCUUCCAUGAGGCAAGUGUCUAUUGUUUUCUCUGAUAUGUCGUCACUCUUUUGUCAUCAUUGAGGUUUAGGCCCUUGACAGAGGCAAAGAGGCAAGAGAAGGAGGACGUUAAUUAAACAAUUAGAUAAAAGAAAUGUUAUUCCUCAAAUCUGUUUUCAAGUAGGUGAGUAGAUCGAAACCCAGAACAACCUCUUUUUUUUUGCUUAAAACCCCAAGAACUACUUAUAGACCUAACUUUAACAACAACAAUACAAAAGAAAUGUACUAAGCACACAAUACAAAACGAAGCAUGAUGGUCUAACUAACUCCAGCGAAUAUAAGCGAGUGGUAAGGAAAAACACUUUCCUUGUAAAGAAGAAAGAAAAUUCACAUUAAUUAGGUUAGAAGAAAUCAUAAAAGAAAAUUCAAAACUUUUGAUCUCAUGGUUGUGUGGACUAAACUUGGACUUUUCUUUAAUCAUAUAGUUCAUUUUUCAUUUUCAAGGAAGAUCGAUACUUUUACUUAUGUUCUUUUUAUUUAAUUGUAAUGACACUCCCAGAGUUAAAACCAGUAUUGAAAGAAGCAAAUGGUUUUGCCUCUCCAAGUAGGCAACUAUGCCUCCCAAAGAAAAAGAGACAUCAUGCUCACUCCAUGCCUAUAAAUACUCCUCAAAUCAAUAACUUAUCCAUUCAAAUUGUGUCUGAGAACAAAAAGGCAAAAAAAAAAAAGAGAAGAAGAUGGGUUUAAUCAAAGAGAAAGAGAUGGAGAUUCCAGUCAUUGAUUUUAGUGAACUGGAUGGAGAAAACAGAACCAAGACUAUGUCUCUUCUUGAUCAUGCAUGUGAUAAGUGGGGCUUCUUCAUGGUAUGUACAAAUCUUUAUCCACAAAUCAAGUUCUUAAGUAUGCAUAUGUAAACGUUCCUAGAUCCAGUUCUAGUGUAGACCCUUAUUAAAUGCGGGCUGAUGAAUUUUCAGGUUGAUAAUCAUGGAAUUGAUAAAGAAUUGAUGGAUAAAGUAAAACAGCUGAUUAACUCUCAUUAUGAGGAGCAUUUGAAAGAGAAGUUUUACCAGUCAGAGAUGGUCAAGGCUUUGAGUGAAGGCAAAACGUCAGAUGCUGAUUGGGAAAGCACUUUCUUCGUUUGGCAUAAGCCGACUUCAAACAUAUCCAAAGUCUCCAACAUUUCAGAUGAACUCAUGUAAGUAACUAAAAAAAUUAUAUAUCCAAAUUUUUACCAAUUUCUUUAUUUGGACAAAGUUUUUACCAUUUAUAUGUCUUGCCUAUUAUAAUUAACAAUGUGUGGGGAUGAAACUUAUAUUGCAGCAAGACAAUGGAUGAAUAUGUUUCUCAACUGCACAAGUUUGCAGAAAGGCUCUCUAAACUCAUGUGUGAAAAUCUUGGUCUCCCUCGAGAACACAUAGUGAAUGCGUUCUCCGGUAUAGAAGGUCCAGUUUUUGGGACAAAAGUGGCUAAAUACCCAGAAUGCCCUCAUCCGGAGCUCAUUAGAGGGCUGAGAGAACAUACUGAUGCUGGAGGGAUCAUAUUGCUCUUGCAGGAUGAUCAAGUGCCUGGUCUUGAGUUCUUGAAAGAUGGGAAGUGGGUUCCUAUCCCACCAUCGAAGAACAAUACCAUUUUUGUCAAUACCGGUGAUCAAGUCGAGAUAUUGAGUAAUGGGAAGUACAAGAGUGUUGUACACCGUGUGAUGACGAUGAAGCAAGGAAGUAGACUGUCGAUAGCUACAUUUUACAAUCCAGCUGGGGAUGCCAUAAUAUCUCCAGCUCAAGAGAUGUUGUACCCAAGUGGUUACCGAUUCCAAGACUACCUUAAGCUUUAUUCAACCACUAAGUUUGGAGACAAAGGCUCUAGAUUUAAUACCAUGAAGAAAAUGGAGAAUGGGGAUUCCGUCUAGGAUGCAUCGCCUGAACGUAACGCUGCUUUUGUAUUUCACAUGAAACUCUAUUUCUAUUAAAACUUUGUCUUCUUGUUGUGUUUCUUUCAUAAAGGAAUAACAA